CCAAGGAAACCCGUUUUUUUGGGAAAUGCAGUCUUUAUUCUUUUACUUUGUGUGUGGAAUUUUUUGUUGUUAUUUAUCCAUUCUUUUCUUUAUGGUUUAUGUUACUGUCUUAAGAAGUUAUUGUUAUCUUAAGUUCUGUAUUCUGUAUUUUCUUUCAGUUUUUAAGUCUUCUUCCCACAUCCCAGUACAUAUAUUUAGGUUUAUGUUUCAUGCUGAAUUUUUUGUUGUUGUACAUAGUAUGAAAUAAGGAAUCCAGUUUUGUUUUUUUUUUAACGUAGGUUAAUUGUGCCAACACCAUGCCAACCCUGUCUAAUACCAACUUCCCAUGUGUACAUGAUCCAUUUCUAGUUUUUGAGUUUGGUUCUGUUGUCUUUUUGUCUAACCCUAUGCAAAUAUGUUAAGCUAUGACACUUUUAAUUACUGUAGCCCCAUGAAUGCUGAUACUAAGCAGGUGUGUGUUGUCUUGAUCUUAUAUAAGCCUAGUUCCUUUUAAUAAAAAUGGAGUUAAUAAAUCUACAUUCUUAGCUCUUGGUAGCCUGCAAACACUUGGAGGAUCUAAUACUGAAACUUGCUCACCCCACCUAUGAAAAUUGGUGUGUUCUGUUGCAUAUUUACAUUUUAAACUAUAGCAAGGUAUCACAUCUAUCACCCUGACCCCUACCUUCUGCUGUAAGGCUGCACCAAUAAGAGUGCCCUUCCAUGUUCUGUUGGAGCUUAAAGCAAAGGAAAAUUAAUAAUUGUCAUUUGCAAUUUUUGAUAUUUUGAGCAUCAUGGAUUUUUGCAUUCAUUUUAUUCUUUUAAAUGUUGCAUUAAAAUAUUUCUCUUGAUUACUGAAGUUUUUAGUACCCCUUAUAUUUUGUCUCCAAGGCAAGUACCUCACUUGCUUCAUCUUAGUCCCAGCUGAUAAAUACAUUUAUUAAUUCCUGAACCUUUGAACUGACUGUCUCUAGACCGUUUUCCUGGUUAAAGACAGACAUUACCACAGAGGGAUAUCUCUCUAUUGGUCCCCUUUAGCAUAGAUCAAUUUUUUUUUGUUUUCUGGGGCACUUAAGAGAAAUGGAGGAAAGGCUUUGCUUCCCUAAGCAGUGAGCCAUCAUUUAAUACUUUGAAAGCAAAAUGCUGACAGAAACUGCAAGUUCCAAAAAGAUAUCAUUUAUGGAAAAGCUUUAAUCUAUGAAAUGUAUUUGAAAAUAAUAUUGUUUACAUAUUUUAGUGUCUAUGGGGAAGGGAGAAGUAUCUUAAGUCAAUGGCACCUUAUAGUUGCCAUUGGCUAGGCAGUUGUCAUGGCAGUUGCACCAGCUUGUCAUAGCUGUUCACAUUUUAAUUCCACAGUUAGGUUUUAAGUCUUAAAAAAAUUUCUAUUACAAUAGAUAUAAUCCUAAGUGUUAUUAAAGCAUUGUUUCGUGGUUUAAUUCGCACCUUUUUUUCCUUAGUCAUAUGUAAAGGAAUGGCAUGUAAAAUAAAGCAAGCUUAAAAGUUGAUGGAGUAUGAUAUAUAAUUUAUAAGCACUUUGUAUAAAACAUGCUGGGGGAAAUGCCCAUUAGUUUAGCACAGUAAGUGUUUUGGGAUGUGUGAGAGUUUUAUUUUCUCUUCCCUCAAAAUGUUACAUAAGAUGUUAACGUAUGUUAAAUCUAGUAGGUAAAGGUGUUUGAAUAAAAUUUUGAGUUAAAAAGUAAAAUACAGAAACUAAAUGAUUCAGUUUAGUCCUGGAUUGCUUUCCAUGAAGCAGGCACCAAUUUAUAAGCCCGGCAAUAUACAACAGUGCUCAUGUUUUCUGUUUUGCCAGUAUUCCAAAUUGCCAGUCCUGGGGGUGUAGUAAUUUGUGAUUUCCUUUUUUAAUUCUCAUUUAUUUGAUUACUAGUGAGAUUGAACUUUUCUCUCUCUCUUUUUUUUUUUUUUGGUAAAUGUAUGGCUUUUAUCUAAACCUGUUUGCGUAUGUUGCUUAUUUUCUGUUAACACAUUGACUUUUUUCUUACUAAUUUGUGAGAGCUUUUUAUGUUUUCAGGAGAUUAGCCGUUACUCUGUUACAUAUGUCACAAAUCAUUUUCCUGAGUUCACCAGUUGCCUUUCAGUACUGCUUAAAUAGGGAUGUCAAAGCGUGAAUGGGAGCAAACUGAUCAGUUUAAUCUGAUACUGAAACAUCCUAAUUCCUGAAAAGCUACAAGCUCAAACGCAUAGAAUUCCACGUCCCCCCUCUUAUAGCAUACUACCCUGUGUCUGCUUUUUCUUAGACAGUGUUUUUUUAUUUCUAUGCCAGCUUUAUUUUCUAUAUAUUGUUUUAAGAAUACAGUGGGGUUUAUUUUUUUGUUUGUUUUACUUUUAAAUAAAAAUUUGAAGUAAAAUUUAAAUGAAAAGAGAUGUUCAAUUUGAGUUUUGAGAAGUCUCUUGAUUUUUUUAAGUUUCAAUAGUUUAGAACAUUAUCAUUUUCUUCAACAGUUUGAACCUUCAGUUGUAUACUUAGACAGUCUUUUCACAUUCUGAAUGGCAGUCUUGAGCACGUCCACUUGUAAACCCGCUGAGAGCUCUGGUGACAAGAAAGGCAGUGGCUGGCAGACCUUACAAGCCCUUAAAAGUACAAGAACAAAAAGGUUUUUUGUAAACCUGAAAGAAAACGAACCCAACACUAUGUAAUUAUAGUAUUUAUACUGCUAUUAACCUUUAAUCUUAGAGCCCAUUAAUGAAGGCAGAGAACUGUCGCUGUACCCUUCAAAAUCAUAUUUUUCUCUGUCCUUGUGAUAAAUACCUGUGGCUUCUCGGCAGUACUUUUGCUUUUAUUCCAGAGACUUUCAUGGUUAAAGGCAGGCUAUAUUUAAUAAAUAUCAUUAUUGUUUCCCUCCUCCUAAAAGCACUAUUUAUAUCAGAAGUUACUGGAUUUCUAAAUGUCUAUGUAAGAGCAUCUUGUGACUCUUUUAUGAUGCCCAGAACUCAUUUAAAGUAUGAGGUACAGAGUUAAUAGCUAAUGUAAAGGGAAGUAGGUUUGUAACUGGCUUGUUCUACAUGCAUACACAUCUUAAUACCCUAAGUUAGACGCUUUUAGCUUAAUUUUGGUGACUUCAAAGACCUAUGUUUAGGAAUAUAGAAAGCAGUGAAUUUCUUGAUCAGACAAGGAAUUGGCUCAAGUGCUUUCUCAUAGAUGCUUUUCCCAAUGGCCCAAAGAGAGUACCUUUGGACAGCAGUACAUCACCUAGGUAAGCUCCCCUUUUGUACCUUUUAUUACAGUUCCAUUUGCUAAUUUACUUUAAUCAGAGAGUAGUAAGUGACUGAACAGUAACUAUGUACAUUCCCUUUCUGGGAGAUUUUAUUUCUGCUCUGAGAUUGAAAGGUCCAAAAAAAGUAUAAGUAUUAUAAGAAUGAAAAGAGCAGGUUUGGUACAAUGGUAUGCCAAGGUUAAUUCUUGCUUUUCCAGAGAAAAUUGAUAUAAAUAUCCUAGAAGGUGAUAUAGAAAAAUUGCUGACAGAUGGUAAAUAAUUUCUUUAGGGAAAAUCGUGGAAAAGUUUCCUUUCUCAGUCCCUGAUGAUUCUAGGAUGUAGUUACGUGAAAUAGAAAAUUUCUUUCAUGUAUUACAUGGAUUUAUUCAUAUUUUGUGUGAUCUCUGAGAAUGAAUGUUGAAAUGGACUUCAAGGAAUCCUAUGCAGUAGUUAUGCCUGGAGGUUUUGUGUAGUGUAGUGUAAAACAUACCUUUAAUUUUAGGGCAAAAUUGAACUUGGUUAGUUCGUACCACACAUUUCCAAAUAGUUUUGAGUAACUAAAAUUAUACAAAUAAAUCCGUAAGUUAAAUACACUGAAAGAUUGGCUAUGUAAAAUUACUCUUGACAACCCAUGUUUGUUUAUGUAAUAUUUUUAAAGGCUUUUUCAGGAUGGGACACACAUGAAUCUGGCAGUUAAGAAUGUGUAAUAGAGUAUAUACACUAUUAUAGUAUAUACUACACUAGUCAAAUGCCUUUCAGCAUCAAAAGUUUACAUGUCAAUGCUGAUUGCAUUAACACUUGGGGAGAUUUCACAUCAGAGAGCAACACACACAAUGUUUGUCAGUUUGAGAGAGAAAUAUUGGCCCAUAAAGCGAACUCUGAAUGAUUUGUAAUUCCAUAUCCUCAAAAGUUUUAACACAGUAGUCCUGAAGAAUUGUCAUCUGUGUGUUCUUCAAAGAGUAAUUUUGUAACAGGGCGGAUCUUUAGAUAUGUUUUCAUGAGGUCUCCACGUUGAUUGCCUACGUACCAGAUGGGCCUUUAGAAGCUCUGAUCGGAUUCUCCAGGGGCCAGAAUCCACUUCGGUUUGAGGGCAGCUCGUUCUUCUUCCCGUCAUUUGUGUCAUGAACCCCUUGGGGCCAAACAUUUAAGCACAGCUCUUACAGUGACUGGCAGUUAUCUUUUCUAAUUCUGUUCAUUUCACUGAUACAUUGUGGCUUCAAUUGUCUUUACCAUCCAAACCUCAAUUCUCCAAAGACUCUAGUUUUCUUUCUUAAAGUAUACAACCCAGAACAGAACCCAAUGUAGGUAGUAGAACUGUGGUCCUUUGUUCUAGUUACUGCUCUUUUGUUCUUCUAUUUAACACUCAAAUAAUGAACUAGCUUUUCUGACAUCCACAUCCACAUGAAAAUGAGUCUUUUAGGUUAUUUUUAUUACUGUUAAUAGUCUUUCCCCAUCCUGCACUUGUGCAGUUGGUGUUUUGUUCAACCUGCUUCGCAGGACCUUCAUUUAUUCUAAGUUUUCUUGUGUUAGAUUUAUUAACCUUUUGAAAUAUUUUGGGAAUCAUCGAAGAUAUGUAUACUAUCUUAUUCUUUUCAAUCACCCGAAAGCUUGAAACUUGAACAUUCAGUAUUGAAUGAAACAAGUCUGAGGACAACGACCUAGGAAACUUCUCUUUGAUAUGAUAUAAAUUGACCAAUGUUUUAAGCAGCAUCCAUUAGGUAAAAAUUUUAGCAAUUUACUGAUUCAUCCAUCAGCCUGUUUCUCUCCAGGUUUGUCUGUGAGAGCAUCAUGGAUCUUAAAUUCCUUGCUGAAGUCCUGCAUUUCUCAAAUGUUAGUCAAGUAACUGCCCUCCAAAGUUCAUGUAGUACCUGCUGAUACUUGGUGAACAGUGUUCUCUUGCCAAAAGGCUUAAGAAACAUUAUCACUGUAAGUAAGGUUUUAUUCCAGGGCCUUUCCUGGGAUCAGUGUCAAGUUGUUGCCAUCUUUUACCUCUUAUAAAAAUCGGAAAGAUAGUCACCCUUUCUAAUGUAAGGCCAGUACCCCCCCCCCCACUUUUAUAUAACUACAGUGGGUCACCUAGAAAUAUUCUUAGAUUUCCAGGAUGAUUUUCUUGUUUUCCAUUAGCAUAAAAUAGGAAAUCAGUUCUUAUUGGCCUUAUCACUUCUGUAUAAUUCAAUUUAUUUGGAGUUUUCACUUUGACCCUAUUCCCAUGGGCCCAUGCAAAUUUAUUUGUUUAUUUUUGCUUAUGGUGUUUCUUGCAUCAUUUAUGUGUUUUUGAAACUCUGAACUUGUUACAUUUUUUUCCUGUGUAAACUGGUGGUUCUUGUUUUGUUGUUGUUUUAUUGCUUUUAGUUACGUCUCCCUUUUUAUUCUGUAUAUAUGUGAUUUAUCAAUUUAAAAAGUAUUUUAAAAGUAACCUUGAUGCAUCUAAAAAAAAAAUCAAAAUUACAACUUGGCCUCACGCCUGAGGCCAGCUGCAGCACGUGAACUGGACAGAACAGAACAGGGCCACAUCGAGAAGAUGCUCUUCACAUCACAGACACUGGGGCCUUACCUACACAGCUUACCAGCAAGGGGAAGGAAGGUGUUCUUACCAAUAAAGUCAGUGUGGUUAUAGUGCAACAAAUAUCUGUCAGGUGACUUGAGAAAAGGAGUCCUUUAUAAAGAGCUUUUUAAAAAUUUAUCAAAGAUGCCACAUGGGCCAGUAGUAACCCUGGAGCCUUAUGUUUGUUCUAGGAAAUGAUGUAACUUCUCUCUUUAUAUUCUUCCCUACUUGUGUUAUAUCUUUGUUCCCUUAAAACUUGGGGAAAGGUAGCACUGUCGGAGUGUGGCAGAGGAGCUGAGCAGCAUAUAGGUGAUUGCAAAAGACCAGCUUUGGCUUUCCAGCCUUGAGUUCAAGAGCCUCUCUAGGAUAAACCUUUGGGUGCCCUUCUGUCUCUUGUUUUCUUGUCUCUCUCGAUUACCAGGGAUUCAAAAAUAGCAAGUAAAAAAUAACAGGGAAAAAAUGCCCCAGGUACAGACAGCCUUAUGUAUUUCUACAGAUACAUGAGUUACGUGUAAUGUGUGUAUAGAUAGUGUGUUUCUUGGCACCCGUUUCUGUACACAUGCUAUGUACUUCAAUAAAAAUUUAUUUCACAAACAU